GAUGAACGCUGGCGGCAUGCCUUACACAUGCAAGUCGAACGGCAGCACGGGAGCAAUCCUGGUGGCGAGUGGCGAACGGGUGAGUAAAGUAUCGGAACGUGCCCAGUCGUGGGGGAUAACGUAGCGAAAGUUACACUAAUACCGCAUACGAUCUAUGGAUGAAAGCGGGGGAUCGCAAGACCUCGCGCGAUUGGAGCGGCCGAUAUCAGAUUAGGUAGUUGGUGGGGUAAAGGCUCACCAAGCCGACGAUCUGUAGCUGGUCUGAGAGGACGACCGGCAACACUGGGACUGAGACACGGCCCAGACUCCUACGGGAGGCAGCAGUGGGGAAUUUUGGACAAUGGGCGAAAGCCUGAUCCAGCCAUGCCGCGUGCAGGAUGAAGGCCUUCGGGUUGUAAACUGCUUUUGUACGGAACGAAAAGGUUUGGCCUAAUAAGCUGAGCUCAUGACGGUACCGUAAGAAUAAGCACCGGCUAACUACGUGCCAGCCGCCGCCGUAA
rnacentral:rRNA from 1 species